GUUAUUCAAAGCUAUCAUAAUCGGGUCACAUGAAAUAUACCCCCGAAUUGGAAAUUACAUAUCGUGACCAUGUUACGGAAACUAUACUCAUAAUCACAAGAUCAAGGCUUUAAUUAAUUUAUUUAACACGGGCAAAUAAGAUGCCAGUAGAGUCAAAGUCAUCCAAAGGACCAACAAAUAAGCCAACAUAAAAACACAUAGGAAAAGAAAACAAUACACAGCCAGUUGUUCUCCUAUUUCCUUUUGACCAUUUCUUGCAUCAUUGCUGCUUCAAUGUUCACGGCAAAAAAAAAUUACAAGACUUUCUACAAACUAAUAUUCAAAGUGUCAAGACGACUUCUUUUAAUAAACUAGCCAAUCACUCCAAGUUUUUAUAUAAUCAUUGCCUGAGGAAAAAGAGAAAUCAAACACCAUUUACUUAAUUUAAAAACCUCCACUCACAUAAACAACGAGACAGCAACAUCCAUGGUAGCUGCAAGAACCGACAAUGGAACCUAAAUUCCAAAAUCAACGAAAUCCCCGCAAAAGGAAGACUGAGAAACCGUAGCAAUUCAAGGGAGGAGCAGGAGCAACUUUGAACUUGAAUUCCAAACUUGUUUCUCGUUUUCUUUCAUUUAUGAUGUGUGUGUGAGUGUGAUUUUUGUGAAGGGAGAUAAAAAAUCAAAGAGAAGGGUGGUGUGGUUGGAGAUUUUUUAGCAUGAGGCUUUUGAGAUUUUCAGAUCCGCCCUUUUUCUUUUGGAGCUUUUCUGAUUUUUAAGCCCUGGAAUUCUGAGUUGUAAAUUUCAGCUGGUUCUUAAGGCUUAUGUGACUGCGAAUCGUGUUUGGUUUAGGCCGAAGCAGCAGCCGAGAAGAUAAGACUGUCAGGAGAGAAUCGAGAAGAAAAGUUGCGCCCCUUUUUCUUUUCUUUGUGUGUAGUUGUGUGUUGGGUGUAUAUUUUAGAUGUAGAUAGUAUGAACCUACGUAUUAUGGGCUAGAAAUUAGUUUGAGUUAUGUAGGUUUGGAUAGAAAAAUUAUGGUUUAGGGUAGUUUUAAUUUUAAAAAAAUGGCUCAAUUGCUUAAAUUAAAAUCUCAUUGCAAUUAAAUACUUUUUCUUCUUUUUUUUAAAAUUAACAAAAAUAGAAAUUAAAAGUUCUAAAUUAAUCUAUUUUUGUAGAAAUUAAAACUCUUU
rnacentral:lncRNA from 1 species